rnacentral:tRNA from 1 species
GUUCCCGUAGCUCAACUGGAUAGAGUACCUGGCUUCGAACCAGGGGGUUGGGAGUUCGAGUCCCUCCGGGAACA